GACGAAGGUGACAACCGUUACUCGGAAUCACUGGGCAUAAAGCGCGCGUAGGCGGCUUUGCAAGUCGGGUGUGAAAUCCCCAGGCUCAACCUGGGAACUGCAUUCGAGACUGCAUUGCUAGAGUAUGGGAGAGGGAAGUGGAAUUUCCGGUGUAGCGGUGAAAUGCGUAGAUAUCGGAAGGAACAUCAGUGGCGAAAGCGACUUCCUGGACCAAUACUGACGCUCAUGUGCGAAAGCGUGGGGAGCAAACAGG
rnacentral:rRNA from 1 species